rnacentral:rRNA from 1 species
UACAUGGGGUGCAAACGUUGCUCGGAAUUAUUGGGCGUAAAGCGCACGUAGGCGGUUCGUUAAGUCGGAUGUGAAAGCCCUCGGCUCAACUGAGGAAGUGCACCCGAAACUGGCGAGCUUGAGUACGAAAGAGGAUCGCGGAAUUCCCGGUGUAGAGGUGAAAUUCGUAGAUAUCGGGAGGAACACCGGCGGCGAAGGCGGCCCCCUGGGCUAGCACUGACGCUCAGGCACGAAAGCGUGGGGAGCAAACAGG